rnacentral:rRNA from 1 species
UACAGAGGGUGCGAGCGUUAAUCGGAAUCACUGGGCGUAAAGCGCACGUAGGCGGCUUUCUAAGUCAGGGGUGAAAUCCUGGAGCUCAACUCCAGAACUGCCUUUGAUACUGGAGAGCUUGAGUCCGGGAGAGGUGAGUGGAACUCCGAGUGUAGAGGUGAAAUUCGUAGAUAUUCGGAAGAACACCAGUGGCGAAGGCGGACUCACUGGCCCGGUACUGACGCUGAGGUGCGAAAGCGUGGGGAGCAACGGGG